UAUUCAAUAAUAUAUAUGAACAAUUUGUUGAAACAAAUAUACAUAUACCCGAAUGAAUAGUCCAAGGCUUAUACUAAGAUUAUACUCGUAUUCCAGACUUUAAACUCAAGGAGAUAAGAUAAUACAAAUUUAAAACAAUUUUUCACAAAUUUUUAUAACAAGAAACGGAGGCACUGAUAUCAAGAAUUUCAUUAAACGUGUGUUACAAAGACUUUUCAGUAACUUGCUAUCUUCAAAAGGUCCAUAGACAGGUUAUGUCCUUAUCCUAACCCUAUGUUUAUGAGCAUCAUGAAAGAUUUGUCUAGAAACAAAUUCAAUUCAUCAGAUCACGAUUUUGAGUUACAUGUAAAAGACUGGUUUUCAUCAUGGCUAACAGUAAUCUAUAAUAGUUCAACUGACACAAAAGACAGAUUUCCUAGUUAUCUACUUUCAAAGGAGAAGAUUUUUUCACAUGGUUUAUUUAGAAUAAACUAAUACAUAAAUAUAUAUUAUAAGAUCAUAUUCAAAAAAUGAUGUAGGU